CACGUAGGGCGCAAGCGUUGUCCGGAAUUAUUGGGCGUAAAGAGCUCGUAGGCGGCUUGUCGCGUCGAAUGUGAAAUCCCGAGGCUCAACUUCGGGCUUGCAUUCGAUACGGGCAGGCUAGAGUUCGGUAGGGGAGACUGGAAUUCCUGGUGUGGCGGUGAAAUGCGCAGAUAUCAGGAGGAACACCGGUGGCGAAGGCGGGUCUCUGGGCCGAUACUGACGCUGAGGAGCGAAAGCGUGGGGAGCGAACAGG
rnacentral:rRNA from 1 species